CGAAUAAUAGUAAUCGAACCCUGGCCGCCCGCGUGGCAGGCGAGCAUUCUACCACUGAACCAC
rnacentral:tRNA from 1 species